UGUGUGACUGCGUACCUUUUGUAUAAUGGGUCAGCGACUUAUAUUCUGUAGCAAGGUUAACCGUAUAGGGGAGCCGUAGGGAAACCGAGUCUUAACCGGGCGUUAAGUUGCAGGGUAUAGACCCGAAACCCGGUGAUCUAGCCAUGGGCAGGUUGAAGGUUGGGUAACACUAACUGGAGGACCGAACCGACUAAUGUUGAAAAAUUAGCGGAUGACCUGUGGCUGGGGGUGAAAGGCCAAUCAAACCGGGAGAUAGCUGGUUCUCCCCGAAAGCUAUUUAGGUAGCGCCUCGUGAAUUCAUCUCCGGGGGUAGAGCACUGUUUCGGCUAGGGGGCCAUCCCGGCUUACCAACCCGAUGCAAACUGCGAAUACCGGAGAAUGUUAUCACGGGAGACACACGGCGGGUGCUAACGUCCGUCGUGAAGAGGGAAACAACCCAGACCGCCAGCUAAGGUCCCAAAGUCAUGGUUAAGUGGGAAACGAUGUGGGAAGGCCCAGACAGCCAGGAUGUUGGCUUAGAAGCAGCCAUCAUUUAAAGAAAGCGUAAUAGCUCACUGGUCGAGUCGGCCUGCGCGGAAGAUGUAACGGGGCUAAACCAU
rnacentral:rRNA from 3 species